rnacentral:piRNA from 1 species
UGAGGAACUGCUGGCUGAGUGAG